rnacentral:rRNA from 1 species
UACGUAGGGGGCAAGCGUUGUCCGGAUUUAUUGGGCGUAAAGCGCUCGCAGGUGGUUCGUCGCGUCGUGCGUGAAAGACCCCGGCUCAACUGGGGGAGGUCGUGCGAUACGGGCGAACUGGAGGCCAGUAGGGGGAUGCGGAAUUCCGGGUGUAGUGGUGGAAUGCGUAGAGAUCCGGAGGAACACCAGCGGCGAAGGCGGCUCCUGGACUGGUCCUGACACUCAUGAGCGAAAGCGUGGGGAGCGAUCCGG